rnacentral:rRNA from 1 species
AAGUCCCGUAACGAGCGCAACCCCUGCCAUUAGUUGCCAUCAGGUCAAGCUGGGCACUCUAAUGGGACUGCCAGUGAAAAACCGGAGGAAGGUGGGGAUGACGUCAAGUCCUCAUGGCCUUUAUGUCCAGGGCUACACACGUACUACAAUGGCCGGUACAAUGAGUCGCAAACCCGCGAGGGGGAGCCAAUCUCAAAAAGCCGGUCUCAGUUCGGAUUGGAGUCUGCAACUCGACUCCAUGAAGCUGGAAUCGCUAGUAAUCGCUGAUCAGCAAGCAGCGGUGAAUACGUUCCCGGGCCUUGUACACACCGCCCGU